CACCCUGUAGCUCAUUGAACAGCGCGUUGGACAUCUAAUCCAAAUGUCGUGGGUUUAAAUCCCACCUGGCUGA